AUGGCUGCCUUCCACCUCCUCUUCGUCCUCGUGCUUGCGCUCGCCGCCAGCAGCAGUGCCAGCGUAGUGGCCGCCGCAGACGACGAUGACGUGCGGCUGCGGCAGGAGGUCAUGAUGCAGGCCCUCGGGGUGAAGCAGGCGCUCGCCGUGCUGAACCGUGAGGUCGAGGCCCGCCCACAGCAGUGGAAGCCCAUCUUCAAGGCCCUUGACAAGGUGAUGGACAGUGGUGCCGACGACCGCAGUAGGGCGGAGGCGUCCACCGAGCUCAAGGUGCUGCUCGACCGCGAGCUCGGCCCGUGCCCGGACAGCCUCAGAAGGGACCUCGGAAUCGGUGAUCUGUAA
rnacentral:rRNA from 1 species